rnacentral:rRNA from 1 species
AGAGUUUGAUCCUGGUUCAGGACGAACGCUGGCGGCGUGCCUAAUACAUGCAAGUCGAACGCACUCUCGUUUAGAUUGAAGGAGCUUGCUCCUGAUUGAUAAACAUUUGAGUGAGUGGCGGACGGGUGAGUAACACGUGGGUAACCUGCCCUAAAGUGGGGGACAACAUUUGGAAACAGAUGCUAAUACCGCAUAAAACCUAACACCGCAUGGUGUAGGGUUGAAAGAUGGUUUCGGCUAUCACUUUAGGAUGGACCCGCGGUGCAUUAGUUAGUUGGUGAGGUAAAGGCUCACCAAGACCGUGAUGCAUAGCCGACCUGAGAGGGUAAUCGGCCACACUGGGACUGAGACACGGCCCAGACUCCUACGGGAGGCAGCAGUAGGGAAUCUUCCACAAUGGACGAAAGUCUGAUGGAGCAACGCCGCGUGAGUGAAGAAGGUUUUCGGAUCGUAAAACUCUGUUGUUGGAGAAGAAUGUAUCUGAUAGUAACUGAUCAGGUAGUGACGGUAUCCAACCAGAAAGCCACGGCUAACUACCUGCCAGCAGCCGCGGUAAUACGUAGGUGGCAAGCGUUGUCCGGAUUUAUUGGGCGUAAAGCGAGCGCAGGCGGUUUCUUAAGUCUGAUGUGAAAGCCUUCGGCUCAACCGAAGAAGUGCAUCGGAAACUGGGAAACUUGAGUGCAGAAGAGGACAGUGGAACUCCAUGUGUAGCGGUGAAAUGCGUAGAUAUAUGGAAGAACACCAGUGGCGAAGGCGGCUGUCUGGUCUGUAACUGACGCUGAGGCUCGAAAGCAUGGGUAGCAAACAGAAUGAGAUACCCUGGUAGUCCAUGCCGUAAACGA